AUCACCUUCCAGAGGAUACAUAGUCUCUGGACAGCACAAGUCAUUGGAGACAUCGUUCCUUGCUGCUCUCCAGCUGGAAGUUGACGUGAUGGCUGAGCCCAUAAGCGCUUGUAGGCUGUUUCAAGGGAAAUAAGAAGCAUGAAAGUCUGAGCUAUUUCACAUCUCUUUUGUGGAGCCAUUCCUGACUUGGACACAGCAUGAGAUUUUAUGUUCAUGAUGCUUCCUCCUUUGGGGACAAAAGAGGAUAGCAGAACUGCAUGAUACCCAAGAUAAAGGUAUGCUAUG
rnacentral:lncRNA from 1 species